rnacentral:rRNA from 1 species
CCUACGGGUGGCAGCAGUGAGGAAUAUUGGUCAAUGGACGAGAGUCUGAACCAGCCAAGUCGCGUGAGGGAUGACGGCCCUACGGGUUGUAAACCUCUUUUGUCGGGGAGCAAAGAGAGUCACGUGUGGAUCAUUGAGAGUACCCGAAGAAAAAGCAUCGGAUAACUCCGUGCCAGCAGCCGCGGUAAUACGGAGGAAGCGAGCGUUAUCCGGAUUUAUUGGGUUGAAAGGGUGCGCAGGCGGAGGUGGAAGUCAGUGGUCAAAUUGCGGGGCUCAACCCCGUACUGCCGUUGAAACUGCAUCCCUUGAGUGCGCGAGAGUUAUGCGGAAUGCGUGGUGUAGCGGUGAAAUGCAUAGAUAUCACGCAGAACUCCGAUUGCGAAGGCAGCAUACCGGCGCGCAACUGACGCUCAUGCACGAAAGCGUGGGUAUCGAACAGGAUUAAUACCCCUGUAGUC